rnacentral:rRNA from 1 species
UACGAAGGGGGCUAGCGUUGCUCGGAAUCACUGGGCGUAAAGGGUGCGUAGGCGGGUCUUUAAGUCAGAGGUGAAAUCCCAAGGCUCAACCUUGGAACUGCCUUUGAUACUGGGGAUCUUGAGUACGGGAGAGGUGAGUGGAACUGCGAGUGUAGAGGUGAAAUUCGUAGAUAUUCGCAAGAACACCAGUGGCGAAGGCGGCUCACUGGCCCGUUACUGACGCUGAGGCACGAAAGCGUGGGGAGCAAACAGG